ensembl:lncRNA
CAGAGAUUGCUGUUCUUCACAAAUGCAUUUCUACAGAGCUGGAUUCAACCAUUUGAUGAUUAGCAUUAUUGGCAACUCUUCAAAGAAGAUUCAUCAAGUAAUUUGCAAUUGGAUUGGUUGCCAUUUUUGUGAUUUUACCCCAUGAAAUUGAACAAAAAAUGAUUGACAUUUGAAUUCUUACUUGGAGGACAAAGUGAACCGGCAUAAGAAAAAGAAGCAAUCAGAUUCCCAAGAGAAGUUGGAAGUUAAGUUUUUACCUCUUUGCUGGAUCUGAUGCAGUGAUUGUGUUUCAACAGCUUCCUGUCUUUCUGGAGGAUCUCAUUUGAUAGAGGAAAGUGGAUCCAGGAAACCCAAAUCUACCACAUACAUUUGGCUCUUCUGGAAAGAAGUGGAAGGAAUUGUGCUCUGAUACACGGUCACAGAACAACAUCACAGUUUUAUGAAUUUUCAUUUUCACAGCUUGUUGGUUGCUAAAUGAAUAUGCUAAAAUGUACUAAAUAUUUGUUUGUUUGUUUGAAAAAAAAUUGAAAUUUUGAAAAUUUGAAGAAUUUUCAAUUUGAAAGAAAAAUUUGAAGAAUUUGAAGCAUUUUGAAAUUUGAAGAAAGCCUUUUGCAAGUUAAGACCAUAAUUCUGAGAUGCUUUCCUAUUUUGUUAAACGUAUUAAAGCAGAUGAUUUAUAAUUGGUGACUUUCAGCAGUCAUAAUGUGACUUUAAUUUCCAAACUUUGUGAUGGCCAGAUCUAAGACUAC